rnacentral:rRNA from 1 species
UAGGGAAUCUUCGGCAAUGGACGAAAGUCUGACCGAGCAACGCCGCGUGAGUGAAGAAGGUUUUCGGAUCGUAAAACUCUGUUGUUAGAGAAGAACAAGGACGUUAGUAACUGAACGUCCCCUGACGGUAUCUAACCAGAAAGCCACGGCUAACUACGUGCCAGCAGCCGCGGUAAUACGUAGGUGGCAAGCGUUGUCCGGAUUUAUUGGGCGUAAAGCGAGCGCAGGCGGUUUCUUAAGUCUGAUGUGAAAGCCCCCGGCUCAACCGGGGAGGGUGAUUGGAAACUGGGAGACUGGAGUGCAGAAGAGGAGAGUGGAAUUCCAUGUGUAGCGGUGAAAUGCGAAGAUAUAUGGAGGAACACCAGUGGCGAAGGCGGCACUCUGGUCUGUAACUGAAGCUGAGGCUCGAAAGCGUGGGGAGCAAACAGG